rnacentral:pre_miRNA from 1 species
CAUCGGACCAUCCGACGAUCCAUGUCACGUCUUAUAUGAAUUUUUUUUGUAAUUUUCAUUAUUGUUAGAUGAUAAAACAUGAUUAAUACUUUAUGCGUGACUUGUCUUUUUUUAUAAUUUUUUUAAAUAAGACGGACGGUGACACGGAAAUCCAGGGUUUUUCUUUUU